rnacentral:lncRNA from 1 species
CUAGUCUGAUAAAAAUUUUUCAAUUUUUAAGUUCUUUUUAUAUUAUGCAUAUGAGCCCUUUGUUAUAUAUGCUAUGAAUAUGUUUGCUCAGCUUGUCAGUUGACUUUUUGACUUUGUGAUAAUUUUGCUAUGCAAAAUUUUUAUUAUGUAGUCAAAUUUAUCAGCAUUUUUCUUUUAUUCACUAUGGAUUUUGAUAUAAAUUUAGAAUACACCCAGGUCAGAGAGAAACUCACCCAUGUUUUCUUCUAGUGCUAGAAUGGUUUCAUCUUUUAUAUUUAGAUCCCUAAUCCAUUUUUUCUUUUCCUUUUUAGGGCCAUACCACAGCAUAUGGAAGUUUCUGGGCUGAGGGUCCAAACAGAGCUGCACCUGCCAGCCUAUACCACAGCAGAACCAAGCCACAUCUGUGACCUAUGCCACAGCUUGCAGCAACACCAGAUCCUUAACCCACUGACUGAGUCCAGGGAUGGAACCCACAUCCUCAUGGAUACUAUUCAGAUUCAUAACCCACUGAGCCAAAACAGGAGUUCCCAUUUGUACUUAAUUUUUAUAAAGAUAUAGUUUUAUAAAAUGGCUAGCUAGUUGUCCCAAAGCCACUUAUUAUCCCAUGGAUUAAAAAUGCCUUUUGUCAGAGUUCCUGUCGUGGUGCAGCAGAAACAAAUCCGACUAGGAACCAUGAGGUUGCGGGUUUGAACCCUGGCCUCACUCAGUGGGUUAAGGAUCCGGCAUUGCUGUGAGCUGUGGUGUAGGUCACAGACGCGGCUUGGAUCCCACAUUGCUGUGGCUGUGGUGUAGACUGAUUGGACCCUUAGCCUGGGAUCCUCUGUGUGCCUCGGGUAUGGCCCUAAAAAUCAAAAAAAAAAAAAAAUGCCUUUUGUCAUUUACUAAGUUUCUAUAUGCAUUUGAGACUAAUUCUGGAUUUUUUAUUUUUGUUUCCACUAUGAUCACUAAUUUUAAAAUGUUCUCAGCACUGCCCAGAAAUGCAACUCCAAUUUUCUAGUAUCUUGACUUCCUUGCUUUCUUUCUUUACUAAUUUCUCCUUUCUAUUCCAACCUCAAAGACCACUUCCUCUUCUUCUCAGCUGAUCACCUUCUUUCAAAUUUUCCAUUGAUAAAAUAGAUACAAUCAAAUGAGACCGACCUGGUCUUCCCACCAUAAAAUCCAGGCAUCUGCCUGUACCUGUACGUACCAACUCUACCUUCCCUCAAGGAGCCUUUGCUCUUAUAUUAGGCAAAGGUAUCUUUCAUGCUGUAUACUGGGCCACACCACCUCUCUCCUUCUCCAUGUCUUCACUCCUGCAACAAUCCUCUCUCUCUCUGGUAGCAUCAAUUUCUCCCACUCUUCAAGAUCUCUCCCAUCAGCAAAAAAGCACUCCUUUUGAUCACCCAUUUAAAAAACCCACAGAAAGUACAAACUCUCUAACUACGACCCCCUCUGGCUAUCGGGAGCUCAUAGAAAAAUCAUCAAAUUCCCUCCAGUUUCCUUCAAAGUGAUGUACACAUUUUAUUAUUUUCUAUAUGUGAUGUGACCUGAAAAAGAUGAGAAUCUACAUGGACAGCAAGAAUAAGAACAGGGGCUGAAGUCUUCAGUGGAUGAGAGGGAAAGACCAGAAUAUCUGUAGAUGAUGUAAUACAUAAGGGUAGUAGAUACCUUGUUCUGGUGACACAUGCUUCAAAGGAGCAAGAGAUUUAGGGAACAGGGUGGAACAAUGAUCUCAAGGUAGCAGUAAAGAAAGAGGAAAACAGUGCCACAGCCUGGACUACUGGUACAUGGGCUGUCCUUCCUUUCUAAGUACCCAGCUGAGACAAUAGAUUCAAUCCCAGGGGGUCUAGCGCUUGGCACAUAGGGGAAUGCAAUAAUGUUUCCUGAACAAAAUUAACUAUAGGCCUCCAGUACAGCCGUCUUGCAGUGCAUGGAAUUUAGUGGACUCAUUUUGAAGCCCCUUCAAGAAAAUCUGCCCUUCCGACUUACUUUCACAUGAUCUGGUCCAGAGCCACAAAUCAAGUGUCCAAUGACAGACCUGCUCUACUGGAUCUACCUCUGAUCCAGUCUUGCCCCCUGUGCCACCAUUCUGGCUGCCCCUCCUCUAAUAAUGCUUUUGGCCAUAGGGAAGUAACAGGGAUAAGAUAUAUUCUUUCACCUUAAAGAACUGAACAAAAUGUUUGAAACACUGGACAACAGGCAAUACAGGAGAGAGAUCCUGAGAAAAGAGAAAUAAACCAGGUAAAAGUGAUGAGUGCCACAGCUCAUUGCCUGCCUAAGCUUCCAGAUGACAACAGCAAUCUUGCUGAGUUAAGUAGAAACAGUUUAAAGUUCAAAGAGGCCAAGCCAUCUAGAAUUUGUGGGGAAAGAGGGGUAACUUGACAGAGAUUUCCCCCAAGUCUCUGGCUGAGGACUGACCCACUCAUGCAUGUGAGGAAAUCACAAAGGCUAGAAAAAGAACAGUAGAGAAAAACAGGUGCAGCAAUUCCCAGAUUUCACCCAGAGCCAGAAUAAUCUGUGCUCCCACCAGCCAGAGUGGUGAAACCUCAUAACAUAUGCAGCAUUAACCAGAAUCUUCAGAAGUAUUUCACCAUAGUAGUGGGACUGAAUUAUCCCUAGACUAAAGGAUUCUCUGGCCUGGCCCUCACAGAGUUUAAAAGCAACCCUCAAAAGGAAAAAACUGAUUCUCAGUCCUAAACAAAGCCCAAAAAUAUUUAAGUGAAGACAAUCUCAUACCCAACAGUAUAAAAUUAUACAGUAUACAGUAUAAAAUUAUACAGUAUAAAAAAUAUUUAAGUGAAGACAAUCUCAUACCCAACAGUAUAAAAUUCACCAUGUCUAGCACCCAACCAAAAAUUACCUGGCAUGCAGAAAAAUAAUACAUAACCAGAAAAAAAAAUCUACAAAUAGAAUCAGACCCACAAUGACAGAAUUAUGAGAUAAGGAUGUUAGGUAUAAAUAUAUUACAAACAUGUUCAGAUAUAUAUAUAUACACACACACACAUAUAUAUACAGACACACAUAUAUACAGUGAUGAAAGAAAUGGAAGAUAUUUUAAAAACCCAGAGAUGAAAAAUAAAUAAUGAAAGAUGCACUAAGUUAAUAGCCAGUUAAAAACUGCACAGGAAAUGGUAAUAGAAACUAUUCAGCACUGAAAAAAAGAGGAAGACAAUGAAAACAAAUAAAAUAUUAGAGUUCUGUGGGAAAAUAUGAAGUGGCCUAAACAUGUAUAAGUGAACAGGAAUAAUCAGAAAAUAAGAUCUGAAGAAAUAAUGCUCAUUUUUUUUUUCACAAAUUAGAUGAAAGAACAUAAACCUAGAGAUCCAAGAAGCUUACUGAACCCCAAAGAGAAAUUAUGAGGAAAACUACACUAGAAACUCACUGUAUUCAAAUUGCUGAUUUUGAGAGUAGCACAAUAUAUUUAAAGUGAUGAAAGGGAAAAAAACUACAACGAAAAAAUACUCUACCUGGCAAGGGUUUUAUUCAGGUUUGAUGGAGAGAUCAAAAGCUUUACAGAAAACCAGAAGCUAAGUGAGUUCAAUACCCCAAACCAGCCUUACAAGAAAUGUUAAAGGAAUUUCUCCAAGAAAAAAAGAAAAGGCCACAACUAGAAACACGAAGAUUACAAAAGGUAAAAAAAAGCUCACUGGCAAAAGCAAAAAUAUACAGUAAAGGAAAUAAUUGACAGACAAAGCUAGUAGGAAAGUUGAAAAAUAAAUGUAGUAAAAUCACCUACACUCACAAUAAGCAGUUAGAGCAUAACAAAACAAUUAUGUUAUAUAUUAUAUAAAAAACACUAAACUAAGGGAAGAUUAAAAAUGCAGAUUAAAGAUUAAAUGCUUUUUAAAUUAAGAGAUCAGCAACUUAAAACAAGCAGGUAUGUGUGUCUGUAUUUAUAUAUAUGGAUUAUAGUAACCACAAGCCAAAACUCAAUAAUAAAUAAAAAAGAAAAAGAAAUCCAAAUAUAACACUAAAGAUAGUCAUCGAAUCACAAAGGAACAAAAGAAGAAAUGAACAAAAAAGUCCUCAAAAACAACCCCAU